UUUAAGAACUUGUUCCCAGAAGUUCAAAAAAUGUUUAAUUUUGGUGAUAAUAAUUUAAUAUCUUUUAUAGUUUUAGGAUAAAUUUCAUCUACCACGUAAAAGAAUCCCGAAAAAAUGAUAAGAACCGCAAAAUUAUGAAUUACAAAAAGUCUAAAGAAAACUUUUGAGAACCACUGAAAAGUCUGUAUUCUACUCCUAAUUUUAUUAAUCGUAAACACUACCUAUAAAAAGCUAAACUGCUUUCAUUUUGGAUAGUAUUAAAAGUCAGUUAAUAACCACACAAACAUCAUGACAAAAUAUAUUUCGAUUGCUUUUCUUCUCAUAACAUUUACUGCAACUUUCUAUGUGGAAGGUAUCCCGCAAGACAGGGUAGUCCGACAAGAUCCGUUAUUUAAUGGGAACUUCAACGGGCAAAUACCUAGCCAGUUUCAAGACCAACUAAAGAAAGCAGGCUCAGGCAUUGCGGAUGUAGCAACAUUAAUUAAUAGCGCGAUGGAACAAGUUGUGUUGACCGCCAAAACCCAAACCAAAACUUAAAUUUUGAACAAUGUAAUAAAAAACAAUCUUUGAAGUGUUACAGCGAGGCGACAUAAUAAAUUGAAAACACAUUAA